GAUGAACGCUGGCGGCGUGCUUAACACAUGCAAGUCGAGCGAGAAGUUUUGAAAAGAUUCUUCGGAUGAAAUUUAAAAUGGAAAGCGGCGGACGGGUGAGUAACGCGUAGGCAACCUGCCCCAUACAAAGGGAUAGCAUUUGGAAACGAAUAUUAAUACCUUAUGAAACUUAACUAGUGCAUGCUAGGUAGGUCAAAGAUUUAUCGGUAUGGGAUGGGCCUGCGUCUGAUUAGCUAGUUGGGGAGGUAACGGCUCACCAAGGCGACGAUCAGUAGCCGACCUGAGAGGGUGAACGGCCACAUUGGAACUGAGACACGGUCCAAACUCCUACGGGAGGCAGCAGUGGGGAAUAUUGCACAAUGGGGGAAACCCUGAUGCAGCAACGCCGCGUGAACGAUGAAGGCCUUUGGGUCGUAAAGUUCUGUUCUAGGUGAUGAAAACUGACAGUAACCUAGGAGAAAGCCCCGGCUAACUCCGUG
rnacentral:rRNA from 1 species